CUAUACGGUGAAACUGCGAAUGGCUCAUUAAAUCAGUUAUCGUUUAUUUGAUAGUACCUUACUACAUGGAUAACCGUGGUAAUUCUAGAGCUAAUACAUGCUAAAAACCCCAACUUCGGGAGGGGUGUAUUUAUUAGAUAAAAAACCAAUGCCCUUCGGCUGCUUGGUGAUUCAUGAUAACUUCACGAAUCGCAUGGCCUUGCGCCGGCGAUGGUUCAUUCAAAUUUCUGCCCAAUCAACUUUCGAUGGUAGGAUAGUGGCCUACCAUGGUGUCAACGGGUAACGGGGAAUUAGGGUUCGAUUCCGGAGAGGGAGCCUGAGAAACGGCUACCACAUCCAAGGAAGGCAGCAGGCGCGCAAAUUACCCAAUCCCAAUACGGGGAGGUAGUGACAAUAAAUACUGAUACAGGGCUCUUUUGGGUCUUGUAAUUGGAAUGAGUACAAUCUAAAUCCCUUAACGAGGAACAAUUGGAGGGCAAGUCUGGUGCCAGCAGCCGCGGUAAUUCCAGCUCCAAUAGCGUAUAUUAAAGUUGUUGCAGUUAAAAAGCUCGUAGUUGAACCUUGGGCCUGGCUGGCCGGUCCCCCUCACCGGGUGCACUGGACCGGCCGGGCCUUUCCUCCUGGGGAGCCGCAUGCCCUUCACUGGGCGUGUCGGGGAACCAGGACUUUUACUUUGAAAAAAUUAGAGUGUUCAAAGCAGGCCUACGCUCGAAUACUUCAGCAUGCAAUAAUGGAAUAGGACGUGCGGUCCUAUUUUGUUGGUUUCUAGGACCGCCGUAAUGAUUAAUAGGGAUAGUCGGGGGCAUCCGUAUUGAACUGUCAGAGGUGAAAUUCUUGGAUUUGUUCAAGACGAACUACUGCGAAAGCAUUUGCCAAGGAUGUUUUCAUUAAUCAAGAACGAAAGUUAGGGGAUCGAAGACGAUCAGAUACCGUCGUAGUCUUAACCAUAAACUAUGCCGACUAGGGAUCGGGCGACGUUAUUUUAUUGACUCGCUCGGCACCUUACGAGAAAUCAAAGU
rnacentral:rRNA from 1 species